rnacentral:rRNA from 1 species
AAACCGUUGAAAGGGAAGCGAAUGGAGUUAGCAAUUCGCCGCGCCAGAUUCAGUCUCUCGCGUUCCGCAGCGUGCGUGCUCUCGAUCUUUGUAGACGAAACGCGAUGCGCACGCGGGACGGGAGCGGCGCACUUCUGGCGGGCGAGCGUCAACGUCGAUCGCCCGCGUGUCACAAGGCCGCGAGGAAGGUSAAYCUCCCCACGGGGCGGUUGUUAAGCCKCGCUAUCGCAUGGCACGGGGGCGACCGYGGAACGCCGCGACGCGUGCCUUCCCUCGGAGGGGGCGAGCGGCUGGUGUCCUGUUCUGUCGAACCGGUUGUCGACCGUGGCGGACGGCUCGCCUGUGCGCACGAACCGCUGCCAGUCGACAGGGCGKUGAUCACACACUACGCGUCGAGGACGUUGACGACCAUACGGCUCCAUCCGACCCGUCUUGAAACACGGACCAAGGAGUCUAGCAUGUGCGCGAGUCUCCGGGUGAGCGAAACCUGUGGGCGCAAUGAAAGUAAAGGCGGUGUUCGUCGCCGAGGUGAGAAGCGCGUUGCGGCGUGCCGCAUCAUCGACCGACCUGUUCUACUCCUAGAAAGGUUUGAGUAAGAGCGCACCUGUUGGGACCCGAAAGAUGGUGAACUAUGCCUGAAUAGGGUGAAGCCAGCGGAAACACUGGUGGAAGCUCGUAGCGAUUCUGACGUGCAAAUCGAUCGUCAAAUUUGGGUAUAGCGGCGAAAGACUAAUCGAACCAUCUAGUAGCUGGUUCCCUCCGAAGUUUCCCUUAGGAUAGCUGGAGCUCGGAUGCAGU